GAUGAACGCUGGCGGCGUGCCUAAUACAUGCAAGUCGAGCGAACACACGGUGAGCUUUUUCCUCUGACGGUAGCGGCGGACGGGUGAGUAACACGUGGAUAACCUACCUCUAUGACUUGGGGAACUUCGUGAAACCGGUUCCACUACCACCUCAUACGUUCAACCGCAUGGUUCAAUAGUUAAAGACGCCUUUGCCGUCUCUAAUAGACGGAUCCGCGCCGGAUUAGCUGGUUGGUAAGGUAACGGCUUACCAAGGCAACGAUGCGUAGCCGACCUGAGAGGAUGAUCGGCCACACUGGAACUGAGACACGGUCCAGACUCCUACGGGAGGCAGCAGUGGGGAAUAUUGCGCAAUGGGCGAAAGCCUGACGGAGCAACGCCGCGUGAGUGAUGAAGGUCUUCGGAUCGUAAAACUCUGUUAUUAGGGAAGAAAAGAUGUGUAAGUAACUAUGCACGUCUUGACGGUACCUAAUGAGAAAGCAACGGCUAACUACGUG
rnacentral:rRNA from 1 species